rnacentral:rRNA from 1 species
ACGGAAGGCAGCAGUGGGGAAUAUUGCACAAUGGGGGAAACCCUGAUGCAGCGACGCCGCGUGAGUGAAGAAGUAUUUCGGUAUGUAAAGCUCUAUCAGCAGGGAAGAAAAUGACGGUACCUGACUAAGAAGCCCCGGCUAACUACGUGCCAGCAGCCGCGGUAAUACGUAGGGGGCAAGCGUUAUCCGGAUUUACUGGGUGUAAAGGGAGCGUAGACGGUUCUGCAAGUCUGAUGUGAAAGGCAGGGGCUCAACUCCUGGACUGCAUUGGAAACUGUAGAACUAGAGUGCCGGAGAGGUAAGCGGAAUUCCUAGUGUAGCGGUGAAAUGCGUAGAUAUUAGGAGGAACACCAGUGGCGAAGGCGGCUUACUGGACGGUAACUGACGUUGAGGCUCGAAAGCGUGGGGAGCAGACAGGAUUAGAUACCCUGGUA